GAUGAACGCUGGCGGCGUGCCUAAUACAUGCAAGUCGAGCGAACAGAUAAGGAGCUUGCUCCUUUGACGUUAGCGGCGGACGGGUGAGUAACACGUGGGUAACCUACCUAUAAGACUGGAAUAACUCCGGGAAACCGGGGCUAAUGCCGGAUAACAUUUAGAACCGCAUGGUUCUAAAGUGAAAGAUGGUUUUGCUAUCACUUAUAGAUGGACCCGCGCCGUAUUAGCUAGUUGGUAAGGUAACGGCUUACCAAGGCAACGAUACGUAGCCGACCUGAGAGGGUGAUCGGCCACACUGGAACUGAGACACGGUCCAGACUCCUACGGGAGGCAGCAGUAGGGAAUAUUCCGCAAUGGGCGAAAGCCUGACGGAGCAACGCCGCGUGAGUGAUGAAGGUCUUCGGAUCGUAAAACUCUGUUAUUAGGGAAGAACAAAUGUGUAAGUAACUGUGCACGUCUUGACGGUACCUAAUCAGAAAGCCACGGCUAACUACGUG
rnacentral:rRNA from 1 species